GUCUUCGUGGCUCAGUUGGUUAGAGCGUCAGUCUCAUAUCAUAUAUAUGACUUGGUUGAAUACUUCAAGAUAUCUGAAGGUCGUGAGUUCGAGCCUCACCGAGGACA
rnacentral:tRNA from 1 species